AGAAAUCGCUGUCAAAAGAUUAUCGAAAUCUUCACAACAGGGUCUGGAAGAGUUCAGAAAUGAAGUUAUGGUGAUUGCAAAACUUCAACACAGAAAUCUCGUAAGACUAUUGGGAUGUUGCAUUGAAGAAGAAGAAAGGAUGCUAAUCUAUGAAUACCUGCAGAAUAAAAGCCUUGACCUCUUUGUUUUUGGUACACUCUGAUUAGCUUGUCAUAUCCCAUACUUGUUAAUCCUGCAAAAACCAAUAAAUUUAACAUGAUGUUCAAUCAUUUGCAGAUCACAGUGAGAAAACACUACUGACAUGGCCUAAGCGUUUUAAGAUUAUCAUGGGAAUUGCAAGGGGACUGCUAUAUCUCCAUCACGAUUCCAGAUUAAAGAUUAUUCAUAGGGAUCUCAAAACGAGUAAUAUUUUACUAGACGGACAUUUAAAUCCAAAAAUAUCAGAUUUCGGCUUAGCAAGAAUAUUUGAAGAGGAUCAAUCUCUUGCCAGAACAAAAAGAGUUGUUGGGACAUAGUAAGUUUUCUUCAUAUCAUCAAAUUCCUUCAUUCAUUUUCUAUGGUGGCAUUAAGAUGAAUACAUUUAUGCAGUGGAUAUAUGGCUCCGGAAUAUGCAAUUGAUGGGAAAUUCUCGGUGAAAUCUGACAUCUUUAGUCUUGGAGUGGUUUUGUUGGAGAUUAUCAGUGGGAAAAAGAACAGAGGAUAUGGAGACUCCGACCACUAUCUUAACCUCUUGGGCCAUGUAUACAAAUUAAAACUUUGAUGCCAUUUUCAUGAAACAAUUUUUCUCAGUAACUUACUUGUUGAUAUAUCCUUGUGGCAGGCAUGGUUGCUAUGGAAAGAAAACAGGAUUUUGGAGUUAAUGGAUGAGUAUUUGAAUGAUACAUUUGCGGAGUAUGAAGUGAAGAGAUGCAUGCAAGUGGGAUUAUUAUGUGUUCAGAAAUUUGCAGAAGAUAGGCCAAACAUGUCAUCUGUGGUGUCAAUGUUAGGAAAUGAUGGAGUAAUUUUGGCAGAACCUAAAGAGCCUGGGUUUUUUAUGGAGAGAAGUUGCAGUCUUGCGAGAAGUAGUACUUCAGAAGAUAAAACAUUGACCAUUACUGACCUGGAGGGCAGAUGAGGAGCUCCACAUCCAUCGUUUCUCGCUCUAAUUCUAAUCUUUUUCCGACGACGACUGAGGAUUGUAGUUGCGUG
rnacentral:lncRNA from 1 species